rnacentral:rRNA from 1 species
CGCUCUAUAACCCUUUGUGAAAUACCUACAACUGUUGCUUCGGCGGGUAGGCCGUCCCCUGAAAAGGACGCCUCCCGGCCCGGAACGGACCCCCCGCGGGACCGGACCCGGCGCCCGCCGGAGGAUAACCAAACUCUAUUGUAACGACGUUUCUUCUGAGUGGCAUAAGCAAAAUAAUCAAAACUUUUAACAACGGAUCUCUUGGUUCUGGCAUCGAUGAAGAACGCAGCGAAAUGCGAUAAGUAAUGUGAAUUGCAGAAUUCAGUGAAUCAUCGAAUCUUUGAACGCACAUUGCGCCCGCCAGCAUUCUGGCGGGCAUGCCUGUUCGAGCGUCAUUUCAACCCUCAAGCUCUGCUUGGUGUUGGGGCUCUACGGUCGACGUAGGCCCUCAAAGGUAGUGGCGGACCCUCCCGGAGCCUCCUUUGCGUAGUAACAUUUCGUCUCGCACUGGGAUCCGGAGGGACUCUUGCCGUAAAACCCCCCAAUUUUCCAAAGGUUGACCUCGGAUCAGGUAGGAACACCCGCUGAACUUAAGCAUAUCAAUAAGCGGAGGAAAAGAAACCAACAGGGAUUGCCCCAGUAACGGCGAGUGAAGCGGCAACAGCUCAAAUUUGAAAUCUGGCCCCAGGCCCGAGUUGUAAUUUGCAGAGGAUGCUUUUGGCGCGGUGCCUUCCGAGUUCCCUGGAACGGGACGCCAUAGAGGGUGAGAGCCCCGUACGGUUGGACACCAAGUCUUUGUAAAGCUCCUUCGACGAGUCGAGUAGUUUGGGAAUGCUGCUCAAAAUGGGAGGUAUAUUUCUUCUAAAGCUAAAUAUUGGCCAGAGACCGAUAGCGCACAAGUAGAGUGAUCGAAAGAUGAAAAGCACUUUGAAAAGAGGGUUAAACAGCACGUGAAAUUGUUAAAAGGGAAGCGCUUAUGACCAGACUUGCGCCCGGUGAAUCACCCAGCUCUCGCGGCUGGGGCACUUUGCCGGCUCAGGCCAGCAUCAGCUCGCCGUCGGGGACAAAAGCUUCGGGAACGUAGCUCUCUUCGGGGAGUGUUAUAGCCCGUUGCACAAUACCCUUCGGCGGGCUGAGGUACGC